rnacentral:misc_RNA from 1 species
AACACUGUUAACCUGCGGUACCUGCGGAAGGAUCAUUACCGAGUUUACAACUCCCAAACCCCUGUGAACAUACCUAUAUGUUGCCUCGGCGGAUCAGCCCGCGCCCCGUAAAACGGGACGGCCCGCCGCAGGAUCCACAAACUCUGUUUUUAUUGUAACUUCUGAGUAACAAAACAAAUAAAUCAAAACUUUCAACAAUGGAUCU